rnacentral:rRNA from 1 species
UACGGGGGGAGCAAGCGUUGUUCGGAUUUACUGGGCGUAAAGGGCGCGUAGGCGGCGCAACAAGUCACUUGUGAAACUCUCCGGGCUUAACCCGGAGCGGCCAAGUGAUACUGUCGUGCUAGAGUGCGGAAGGGGCUACUGGAAUUCUCGGUGUAGCGGUGAAAUGCGUAGAUAUCGAGAGGAACACCUGCGGCGAAGGCGGGUAGCUGGGCCGACACUGACGCUGAGGCGCGAAAGCCAGGGGAACGAACGGG